AUUCAUAUAAAAAAAUAUUCCAAAAUAAGAGCAGUGUCACGAAUAUAAUAAUAUUAAAGAUAGAAAGAAAGAGGAAUGGAAAUGAUUAAACUUUAUUUCUUUUACAUUUAGUAAAGGUUAAUUUUUAGAAGACAGAAGCACAUGGUUGAUCAUGCUGUCCAAAUUCUGGAAAGAUGAACCUUUGGGACUAGUAGCAGCCGCUUCUGCAAUUUUCCUCCAUUCCAUGGCUUUCUUCUUCAUUUCCUUCCCCUUCUCUCCUUCCAUUAACACUCUCACAAGCAUCUCUACUUCAUCUCUCUUCACAUCACUGCUCAUCUCCAUGCCUAUGCCCCAUUCUAAGCAGCAGUAUCGGCAAUUCAAUUGUUGCUCCGCCGAGUGAGGCAAACAAAUCAUUGGCACCCCUCCGCAAAUGCUUUCAAGUGUUGAGUUCCACCCACUGUGUGUUAAGAACCCUCCAAUAGAUGGGUGGCUUAGCACUUGUUCCUGGGGGCACCAGCUUGCUAAAAAACCUCUUUCUUUGGUCAUUGUCAUAAACUCCGGCGGAAGAACCGCGGUGGCGCCGGAAACAAGGUUAGGCCUAAUGACCCACAAAAAAUUUUUGUUGCUAUUAGCAAGUCCCCAAGCAAUCUCUACCAAUUUUUCUCUUUUCGUGACAAUCGCGCUUCCAAAAUUGAUGUAAAUAACCGAGUUGGGUUCUUUUGAGUCGAGCCAGUCGAGACAUCCAGAUUCUUCUUUCCAUAAGUUUGAUCCAAUGGACUUUAGCCCACUAUCUUUCACCUUAUUGAGGAGAAGUUGAAGCGAGCCGAUGGAGUAUACAUAAGGCAAUUUUGGUAAUGAAGAAAGUGCAGCUAAAACCUCAUGCUCCAACGCAUCAAACGUAUUCAAUACAAUAGCAGAUGCCUUUUGAGCUCUUUCAGUCUCUGAGAUUAGAAAAUUUAGCAUGAAGUUUUCAGGAUCUGUAGUUCUGAUAAAACUUGGGAUGUCCCUCAAGCGGAUACCUUUCAUGCCUGGAAUCCAAUCUAUAACAGUAUCCAGAUGACCAUUUGUUAAGUAACUCUCAUCUUUAAAUGGUAUGAGACCCUUCUCAAUUAAGUGGCGAAAGUGAAGAUAGGCCAUAAAGCCACAAGCACUUGUAGUCCAAAAAAAUACUUGAGGAAUGCCAAGCUCUUGUGCUGCAUCGAGUGUGAAGCUCAUGACCCCAUCUGAAACUAUGCAAGUUACCGGAGGAACAUUGGAUGAAGAAGUGUGAUUGAGCUCUGAAAGCAGGGUUCUAAGAGGAGCUAAGCAAGUUGUAGACAUGGACUGGGAUAGGAAGGGUGUGUCACGGCCGGAAUUGGUGCGGGUGAUGGUCGGAGGGAGGCCGUCAGGGAUUGUACGGAAAUGAAAGGAAGGCAGGCCAUUGAGAGGGUCGGGUCCUAUAGAUUGAAGGAGGCGUUUGUGGGUGUGCUCGGUGUGAAGGAAGGUAAUAUGGAAGCCGUUGUGGUGGAGGAGUUUGGCUAGUUUUAGCAUGGGAUUUAUGUGACCUUGAGACGGAAAAGGAAUGCAUAGUGCAUGAGGCUUUUCAAGAAUGGCUAUGGACUCCAUUGUUGUUGGCUCUCUCUCUCUUGACACAAUUUGUCAAC
rnacentral:misc_RNA from 1 species